GUCGAAGUGGUGGAACUGGUAGACACGCUGUCUUGAGGGGGCAGUGGGGCAACCCGUGGGGGUUCGAUUCCCCCCUUCGACACCA
rnacentral:tRNA from 1 species